rnacentral:rRNA from 1 species
UACGGAGGGGGCUAGCGUUGUUCGGAAUUACUGGGCGUAAAGCGCACGUAGGCGGCUUGUUAAGUCAGGGGUGAAAUCCUGGAGCUCAACUCCAGAACUGCCUUUGAUACUGGCGAGCUUGAGUUCGGGAGAGGUGAGUGGAACUGCGAGUGUAGAGGUGAAAUUCGUAGAUAUUCGCAAGAACACCAGUGGCGAAGGCGGCUCACUGGCCCGAUACUGACGCUGAGGCACGAAAGCGUGGGGAGCAAACAGG